rnacentral:rRNA from 1 species
CGUGCAGGCGGUCGGGUAAGUCAGAUGUGAAAGCCUUUCGCUUAACGAGAGAAGUGCAUUUGAAACUACUCGGCUAGAGUACGGGAGAGGAGAGUGGAAUUCCCGGUGUAGAGGUGAAAUUCGUAGAUAUCGGGAGGAACACCAGUGGCGAAGGCGGCUCUCUGGUCCGAUACUGACGCUGAGACGCGAAAGCGUGGGGAGCAAACAGGAUUAGAUACCCUGGUAGUCCACGCCGUAAACGAUGGGCACUAGGUGUAGGAGGUAUUGACCCCUUCUGUGCCGAAGCUAACGCAUUAAGUGCCCCGCCUGGGGAGUACGGCCGCAAGGCUAAA